GACAGAGGGGGCAAGCGUUGCUCAGAAUCACUGGGCGUAAAGGGCGCGUAGGCGGGAUGGCAAGUCGGUCGUGAAAUCCUUCGGCUCAACCGAAGAACGUCGGCCGAUACUGCCGUUCUUGAGGGAUGCAGAGGAGAUUGGAAUUCCCGGUGUAGCGGUGAAAUGUGUAGAGAUCGGGAGGAACACCGGUGGCGAAGGCGGGUCUCUGGGCAUCUCCUGACGCUGAGGCGCGAAAGCGUGGGGAGCAAACGGG
rnacentral:rRNA from 1 species